AUUGAACGCUGGCGGCAGGCUUAACACAUGCAAGUCGAGCGGGGGAAGGUAGCUUGCUACCGGACCUAGCGGCGGACGGGUGAGUAACACGUAGGAAUCUGCCCAGAAGCGGGGGACAACCAAGGGAAACUUUGGCUAAUACCGCGUAAUCUCGCAAGAGUAAAGCUGCCCGCAAGGGUGGCGCUUCUGGAGGAGCCUGCGUCCGAUUAGCUAGUUGGUGAGGUAAGAGCUCACCAAGGCGAUGAUCGGUAACUGGUCUGAGAGGACGACCAGUCACACUGGGACUGAGACACGGCCCAGACGCCUACGGGAGGCAGCAGUGGGGAAUAUUGGACAAUGGGGGCAACCCUGAUCCAGCGAUGCCGCGUGGGUGAAGAAGGCCUUCGGGUUGUAAAGCCCUUUAGGUUGGGAAGAAGUGUACGGGGCGAAUAACCCCGUAUGUUGACGGUACCGACAAAAUAAGCACCGGCAAACUCUGUGCCAGCAGCAGCCGCAG
rnacentral:rRNA from 1 species